GAGUAAUGUCUGGGAAACUGCCUGAUGGAGGGGGAUAACUACUGGAAACGGUAGCUAAUACCGCAUAACGUCGCAAGACCAAAGAGGGGGACCUUCGGGCCUCUUGCCAUCAGAUGUGCCCAGAUGGGAUUAGCUUGUUGGUGGGGUAACGGCUCACCAAGGCGACGAUCCCUAGCUGGUCUGAGAGGAUGACCAGCCACACUGGAACUGAGACACGGUCCAGACUCCUACGGGAGGCAGCAGUGGGGAAUAUUGCACAAUGGGCGCAAGCCUGAUGCAGCCAUGCCGCGUGUAUGAAGAAGGCCUUCGGGUUGUAAAGUACUUUCAGCGGGGAGGAAGGUGUUGUGGUUAAUAACC
rnacentral:rRNA from 1 species